GUUAUAAAAUAUAGUACAGUAUAUUACGCACCUAGGGCAGGAAAAUAAGAAAUGUCUCAGAUCACAUGUAAUUGUUGGCUUUCAACAAACAUGUGAUUUGAGGCUUUCUUAUUUACUGCCCAUGGUGCGUAUACUAUUUUUCUCAUCGACGAAGGCGGAAAACGGCAACAUCGGUAAGCGCAGCGGGAAGAAAGUUGACGUUUUCGGCCCGGAGGUGA